AUAGAUCCUGAAACCGUGUGCUUACAAAAAGUAGGAGCCUCGUAAGGGGUGACUGCGUACCUUUUGUAUAAUGGGUCAGCGACUUACAUUCAGUGGCAAGGUUAACCGAAUAGGGAAGCCGUAGAGAAAUCGAGUCCGAAUAGGGCGUCAUAGUCGCUGGGUGUAGACCCGAAACCAAGUGAUCUAUCCAUGGGCAGGAUGAAGGUGCCGUAACAGGUACUGGAGGUCCGAACCGACUAAUGUUGCAAAAUUAGCGGAUGACCUGUGGAUAGGGGUGAAAGGCUAAACAAACUUGGAAAUAGCUGGUUCUCUCCGAAAACUAUUUAGGUAGUGCCUCAAGUAUUACCGACGGGGGUAGAGCACUGUUUUGGCUAGGGGGUCAUGGCGACUUACCAAACCAAGGCAAACUCCGAAUACCGUCGAGUACAGCUUGGGAGACAGAGCACCGGGUGCUAACGUCCGGACUCAAGAGGGAAACAACCCAGACCGCCAGCUAAGGUCCCUAAAAUUGGCUAAGUGGGAAACGAAGUGGGAAGGCUAAAACAGUCAGGAUGUUGGCUUAGAAGCAGCCAUCAUUUAAAGAAAGCGUAAUAGCUCACUGAUCGAGUCGUCCUGCGCGGAAGAUGUAACGGGGCUAAGCCAGUUACCGAAGCUGCGGAUUUGCAAUUUAUUGCAAGUGGUAGGAGAGCGUUCUGUAGGCCUGUGAAGGUGUCUUGUAAAGGAUGCUGGAGGUAUCAGAAGUGCGAAUGCUGACAUGAGUAGCGUUAAAGGGGGUGAAAAGCCCCCUCGCCGUAAGCGCAAGGUUUUCUACGCAACGUUCAUCGGCGUAGAGUGAGUCGGCCCCUAAGGCGAGGCAGAGAUGCGUAGCUGAUGGGAAACAGGUCAAUAUUCCUGUACCGAUUACAAGUGCGAUGUGGGGACGGAGAAGGUUAGCUCAGCCAACUGUUGGAUAUGUUGGUUCAAGCCUGUAGUCAUGCCCGGUAGGCAAAUCCGCCGGGCUUAGAUGAGGGGUGAUAAGGAGUGUGCUUGCACACGAACUGAGUGAUACCCUGCUUCCAGGAAAAGCCACUAAGCUUCAGCUUGUAACGACCGUACCGCAAACCGACACUGGUGCGCGAGAUGAGUAUUCUAAGGCGCUUGAGAGAACUCUGGAGAAGGAACUCGGCAAAUUGAUACCGUAACUUCGGGAGAAGGUAUGCCCCUAGUAGGUGAACUCGAACAGAGGGAGCCCAAUGGGGUUGCAAAAAAUCGGUGGCUGCGACUGUUUAAUAAAAACACAGCACUCUGCAAACACGAAAGUGGACGUAUAGGGUGUGACGCCUGCCCGGUGCUGGAAGAUUAAAUGAUGGGGUGCAAGCUCUUGAUUGAAGUCCCAGUAAACGGCGGCCGUAACUAUAACGGUCCUAAGGUAGCGAAAUUCCUUGUCGGGUAAGUUCCGACCUGCACGAAUGGCGUAACGAUGGCCACACUGUCUCCUCCAGAGACUCAGCGAAGUUGAAAUGUUUGUGAUGAUGCAAUCUCCCCGCGGAAAGACGGAAAGACCCCAUGAACCUUUACUGUAGCUUUGUAUUGGACUUUGAACAGAUCUGUGUAGGAUAGGUGGGAGGCUUUGAAGCCGGAACGCUAGUUUCGGUGGAGCCAACGUUGAAAUACCACCCUGGUGUGUUUGAGGUUCUAACCUAGGUCCAUUAUCUGGAUCGGGGACAGUGCAUGGUAGGCAGUUUGACUGGGGCGGUCUCCUCCCAAAGUGUAACGGAGGAGUUCGAAGGUACGCUAGUUACGGUCGGACAUCGUGAUAAUAGUGCAAUGGCAUAAGCGUGCUUAACUGCGAGACUGACAAGUCGAGCAGAUGCGAAAGCAGGACAUAGUGAUCCGGUGGUUCUGUAUGGAAGGGCCAUCGCUCAACGGAUAAAAGGUACUCUGGGGAUAACAGGCUGAUACCGCCCAAGAGUUCAUAUCGACGGCGGUGUUUGGCACCUCGAUGUCGGCUCAUCUCAUCCUGGGGCUGUAGCCGGUCCCAAGGGUAUGGCUGUUCGCCAUUUAAAGAGGUACGUGAGCUGGGUUUAAAACGUCGUGAGACAGUUUGGUCCCUAUCUUCCGUGGGCGCUG
rnacentral:rRNA from 1 species